AACGAACGCUGGCGGCGGGCCUCAUACAUGCAAGUCGAGCGCGAAAGUCCGCAAGGAUGAGUAAAGCGGCGCACGGGUGAGUAACACGUGGAUAAUCUACCCUUUGGAUUGGAAUAACCUGUCGAAAGACGGGCUAAUGCCGAGUAAGCUCUCGGGAGCGUGAAGCUCUUGCGAGGAAAGAUGGCGCAAGCUAUCGCCGAUGGAUGAGUCUGCGUCCCAUUAGUUAGUUGGUGAGGUAACAGCUUACCAAGACGAUGAUGGGUACCUGGUCUGAGAGGAUGAUCAGGCACACUGGAACUGAAACACGGUCCAG
rnacentral:rRNA from 1 species